AUGUGUCACUCUUGCACGCCGGUUCCUCCGCGCCCACCUGACGACCGCUCGCUACGUUGCGUUAGCC
rnacentral:sRNA from 9 species